rnacentral:lncRNA from 1 species
AAAAAUCCUUUAGUACAUCCAAUUCUAAGCUCUUUUUUACAUGUUUUCAACUUACAAACUAUACAUAAUAUCAUUUAUUAUGUUUUACUGUAUUUACUCAUAAUAUUUGUUAUGAAACCAAUAUAGAACUGAUUCACCCCGCGCUUUUGCGCGGGUCUCAACCUAGUAAUAUAGUAAUGUACUUAACUGACUUAUAAUCAUAAUAAAUCAGAUCCAAACCAUCUAACCUAACACUUGGCACAAAUCCAACAAAUUGUUACUUACUCUAAAUUAGUAGUAUUAUUUAUAGAGUUAUUCUUGGGUUCACCCCAUAGGGUGAACCUAUAGGUUCAUCAACCAAUAAGAUUUAGUUAUUUCAAAUCCGAUAUCUUUUAAAAAAGGAAACAAAAUAUUGUCAAAUUAUAUUACGUUUUUAAAAUUAAAAAAAUACAAAUAAAUAAAAAUAAUAGUAGUUGCAAAAAAAAGUUUUCAAAAAAAAAUUAAUACCAUAAACAAAACACUAAACUCUAAAUCUAAACCCGAAACCCUUCGGUAAACCCUAAACCCUUUGAUAAAUUUUAAAACACUAAACCCUAAAUUCUAAUCCUAAACCCCAAACCCUUGGAUAAACCCUAAACCCUUGGGUAAACCCUAAUCCCUUGGAUAAAUCUAAAACUCUUGGAUCAAAUCUUAAACUUUAAGAUUUAUGAUUUAUUCAAGAGUUUAGGGUUUACCUAAAGGUUUAGGGUUUAAUAUUUGUUGGCAGCG